UUUAUAGAGUGUUGCUGAAGAACUUCUCCCAGGCUAAAAUGAGGAUCAGUUCCAGGUUUCCAAUCAUAUCAACAGUAGGAUCAUGAUUUAUUUCUAAGCUUCUGUCAUCUAUACCAGCAUGUUUCCUACACAAGGCAGCGGAGCCAAACUUACAGCCCCAAAAGAUAAUACAAAAUAUUUGGAUAUCCGGAUCCAACCCACGCUGGAAAUGUGUGGAGUGUUCUGGGGCUAGAUUUAACUGCCAGCAAGUCUUCUACAAUUCAGCUGACUUCAGCAGAGCUGCCUGGGAAAGCAAAUUUGGGCUGUUUGUGUUUGUUGUGUGAUGCUGUGGAGUCCCUCAGAUGAAAGGUGCUACAGAGGACACUGUACGGGUCAUGUUUUACCAUGGUAACCAGGAGUCUGAUGUUGGAGGAGAGCAGUGGAUCGAGGAGCAGUGCCCACAGCUGUGCUGUGGAGAAGACGUGGAAGACAGAGCUGAGAAGUGCAGUGGAUGCACAGAGGUGGUGCAGCCGUGGUGCCCAGCACGCCGCCCAGCCUGGAUUCGGCCGAUGGUGCAUCAGUCCAUACAAAUCCAUCCAGGUGAUGUGCGAAACUGGGACCCAGGCUUUAGGCAUUAUCAGAGGUGA
rnacentral:lncRNA from 1 species